GGGGGUGUAGCUCAGUUGGUAGAGCAUCGGACUUUUAAUCCGCAGGUCCAGGG
rnacentral:tRNA from 1 species